CAGUAGGAUGAGGCCCCAGAAUAGGCUGAAGCCAAGUUGUAGCAAACGCCAAGGUGUUCAUCCUGUGAUCAAAGAGGAGCUGCUUAAGGUCGGUGAGCUGAGCUGAGGGCAUUAAGGUAGAAGGUGGAGUUGAGCAGCUCUUCCAGCCUGCGCGGAACGUCGUUCUCCCGGUAGUACUCCAUCGCCUGCUGCUUCAGCUUCUGCAGCUCCCUAGUGGUCCCACAGCUGCGGCCGCCGCCUUCUUCCUCCAUGAUGAAAACAUCUGAGACUCAGGGCUAAGCACCUUGCCCAAGGCCACACAACAAGUAGGUGAUGGAGAGUGUUGGCGUGUACGGAUUCUGUGGGUGUAAAGCAAAGAACAAAAUGAAGUGUGAUUCAAGGUGGGAAAUAGCCGCUUCAGCUCCCCCAGGCUGCAGCAGCUACCACACAAAGAAGCAGUCCUAUGGCAAUGACAGGACAUCUGUGUCCAGGAUUUGGAUUUGACGAACUGGCAGUUCCUGCAGGGAUGACGGUACUCCCUAGUUGUGUCUGAAUUGGACGCACCAGCACUUGAGCACACACAAACGCACGUGAACAGACGGAACAUGUUAUGGGCCUGUUAGCCAAGGAAUGACAGAAUUAAUCCAUGGGCAUUUGCGGCCAGUGUUGUGUUAAACUAAAGGGAAAAAGUGAACUGGAAAAAGCAAUGUUUGUUUUAUGAAAAUCUCAGACCCAAUCCUUAGGUGACAGUUCUGGAAAUGAGGGGUGUCUAAAACAAAGGGCAUCUGAAACU
rnacentral:lncRNA from 1 species